GUGCCAGCAGCCGCGGUAAUACAGAGGGUGCUAGCGUUGUCCGGAAUCACUGGGCGUAAAGGGCGCGUAGGCGGCCCGAUAAGUAGGGGGUGAAAUCUUGCGGCUCAACCGCAAGGCUGCCUUCUAAACUGUCGGGCUGGAGCACGGUAGAGGCAGAUGGAAUUCCCGGUGUAGCGGUGGAAUGCGUAGAGAUCGGGAAGAACACCAGUGGCGAAGGCGGUCUGCUGGGCCGUUGCUGACGCUGAGGCGCGACAGCGUGGGGAGCAAACAGGAUUAGAAACCCUAGUAGUCC
rnacentral:rRNA from 1 species